GAGAAACAAGGAAUAGACAACAUGUUUGAAGAAAAGUAAUGACAGAAAACUUCCCUGAUAUUGGCAAGAAAAAAACUACAGAAGUCCAAGAAGCUCAUAGAGUGCCAAAAAAGAUGAACUCCAAAAGACCAACACCAAGACACAUCAUAAUUAAAUUGGCAAACA